AUUGAACGCUGGCGGCAGGCUUAACACAUGCAAGUCGAGCGGUAGCACAGGGGAGCUUGCUCCCUGGGUGACGAGCGGCGGACGGGUUAGUAAUGUCUGGGCAACUGCCUGAUGGAGGGGGAUAACUACUGGAAACGGUAGCUAAUACCGCAUAACGUCGCAAGACCAAAGAGGGGGACCUUCGGGCCUCUUGCCAUCAGAUGUGCCCAGAUGGGAUUAGCUAGUAGGUGGGGUAAUGGCACACCUAGGCGACGAUCCCUAGCUGGUCUGAGAGGAUGACCAGCCACACUGGAACUGAGACACGGGCCAGACUCCUACGGGAGGCAGCAGUGGGGAAUAUUGCACAAUGGGCGCAAGCCUGAUGCAGCCAUGCCGCGUGUGUGAAGAAGGCCUUCGGGUUGUAAAGCACUUUCAGCGGGGAGGAAGGUGGUGAGCUUAAUACGUUCAUUAAUUGACGGUACUCGCAGAAGAAGCACCGGCUAACUCCGUG
rnacentral:rRNA from 1 species